rnacentral:rRNA from 1 species
AAGCUCGUAGUUGAAUUUCGGGAUCAGACUGUCGGUCGUGCCUCGGUACGCACUGGCAUUAUUGGUUCCUACCUUCUGAAGAACCGCGAUGUCAUUAAUUUGGUGUCGCGGGGAAUCAGGACUGUUACUUUGAAAAAAUUAGAGUGUUUAAAGCAGGCUUACGCUUGAAUACAUUAGCAUGGAAUAAUGAAAUAGGACGUUUGAUUCUAUUUUGUUGGUUUCUAGGAUCGACGUAAUGAUUAUAGGGAUAGUUGGG